GAUUCUUAACAUUAAAUAAAUAAACUUCUUAUUGUGAAUUAAGAGCAACAGAUACCAGGUUCAUCACUCCUUUUUGAAAAAUAUCGAAAUUAAAGGUAAAAUAAAAUCCAGCUAGUGAGCUUUUAAGGCUCUUUCUAAUCCAAACCUUAAGAGUCAGUUUGGAUGGCAAUUCAGCAACUGGGAGCAGUCCACUUAGCUCCAGAGUGAUUUCGAGGCUACCAGAUUGAACUCUGGAAAAAGUCAAAGGUAUCCUGUGUCAGCUCCAGAGAUCAGCCAGAUGCACUCUGAAAGGAUAUUACUGUUUUAAGGUUAUAUGCUGAUGAUACUCAAUUAUACAUCUCCAUCCCAGGUGAGCACACAGUGCAAAUUGCACUGAGGAAUUAUCAGUUAUUAUGCAAUGGAUUGAAAGUAUGUACAGUAACUAAUUGCAACCAGCGUAUCAACUACUAGAAGAGAACCCUGGGCACAGAGAGAACUGCUCCUGUCUGUGCUCCUGCCCUCUGAAGAUGCCGGUCACAG